rnacentral:rRNA from 1 species
UUCUGGCUCAGGAUGAACGCUAGCUACAGGCUUAACACAUGCAAGUCGAGGGGUAGCAGGGUAGCAAUACCGCUGACGACCGGCGCACGGGUGAGUAACACGUAUCCAACCUUCCCAUAACUCAGGGAUAGCCUUUCGAAAGAAAGAUUAAUACCUGAUAGUACUUUUUCAAGGCAUCUUGAGAAAGUUAAAGAUUUAUUGGUUAUGGAUGGGGAUGCGUUCCAUUAGAUAGUUGGUGAGGUAACGGCUCACCAAGUCUUCGAUGGAUAGGGGUUCUGAGAGGGAGGUCCCCCACAUUGGUACUGAGACACGGACCAAACUCCUACGGGAGGCAGCAGUGAGGAAUAUUGGUCAAUGGGCGAGAGCCUGAACCAGCCAAGUAGCGUGAAGGAUGAAGGUCCUAUGGAUUGUAAACUUCUUUUAUAGUAGAAUAAAGUGAUCCACGUGUGGAUUUUUGUAUGUAUACUAUGAAUAAGGAUCGGCUAACUCCGUGCCAGCCGCAGC